AUUGAACGCUGGCGGCAGGCCUAACACAUGCAAGUCGAACGGUAACAGGAAACAGCUUGCUGUUUCGCUGACGAGUGGCGGACGGGUGAGUAAUGUCUGGGAAACUGCCUGAUGGAGGGGGAUAACUACUGGAAACGGUAGCUAAUACCGCAUAACGUCGCAAGACCAAAGGGGGGGACCUUCGGGCCUCUUGCCAUCGGAUGUGCCCAGAUGGGAUUAGCUUGUUGGUGGGGUAACGGCUCACCAAGGCGACGAUCCCUAGCUGGUCUGAGAGGAUGACCAGCCACACUGGAACUGAGACACGGUCCAGACUCCUACGGGAGGCAGCAGUGGGGAAUAUUGCACAAUGGGCGCAAGCCUGAUGCAGCCAUGCCGCGUGUAUGAAGAAGGCCUUCGGGUUGUAAAGUACUUUCAGCGGGGAGGAAGGGGGUAAAGUUAAUACCUUUGCUCAUUGACGUUACCCGCAGAAGAAGCACCGGCUAACUCCGUGCCAGCAGCCGCGGUAAUACGGAGGGUGCAAGCGUUAAUCGGAAUUACUGGGCG
rnacentral:rRNA from 1 species